UACGUAGGGUGCGAGCGUUAAUCGGAAUUACUGGGCGUAAAGUGUGCGCAGGUGGCUUCGCAAGUCGGGUGUGAAAUCCCCGGGCUUAACCUGGGAAUUGCGCUCGAAACUACGGAGCUGGAGUAUGGCAGAGGGAGGUGGAAUUCCACGUGUAGCGGUGAAAUGCGUAGAGAUGUGGAGGAACACCAAUGGCGAAGGCAGCCUCCUGGGCCAAUACUGACACCCAUGCACGAAAGCGUGGGGAGCAAACAGG
rnacentral:rRNA from 1 species